rnacentral:rRNA from 1 species
AUGGGCAUGCAGUCUAUGAUGGCUGUCCGGUGCACGAACCUUGUCAACCCUGUAUGCGACUGGCUUGGUGAGAUCUACAAGCCUGCCUCCAGGGAAUUCGUGAUUCCUGGACGCGGAAGACUUCUGUUGAACGAGGAAUCCAUGUUCUGCACUUUGGGUGUGCCUCGUGGACAUAUCAAAGUCCCAUACGAGGUCAAUAAUGAGAUCGAGGAAGCUAUGUUCGCCCGUUUGUUUCCUGGAUUGGAGUCCAUGCCAAACCCGUCUGUACUGGCAGAUUCGCUGCAGGCCAUGACGACGCACGGAGAUGUUUUCAAGAUGAAGCUACUCAUGUACCUCAUCUCAGCUGUUUUCGCGCCGACCACUUCCCUUCGCCCAAGCAACAAAUGUUUCCCCAUCCUGGCGAAUCUGAAAAAUGUGAAGAACAUGAACUGGUGUAAGUUUAUUGCCGACUUUCUCCAUGAUGCUUUCAAAAACAAGAUGUACCAGAAGGGUUGUCGACUGCAUUUAAUGCUCAUGUAUGUCGACUAUCUUGAUCUGUCCACCGUGGAUUUCUCUGGGGUAGGAGGCCCGCCGCCUACGCACAAGUUUGUUGUUUCUGCGUGGACCAUCAACGCUGUCAAGGCUGUGCUUGCCGCAGACAGGGCAACUGAUACCACAUAUGGAAAACUACAGCUGAUGGCCAAGCAUGCUAUAGACUACAGCGUGUUUGGGGGGCCUCAAAAAUUUGGAAAGUGGAUGGACGUGCACUCAGCUCCGUCUUGCCCUUCUGAGGCGAGGGCACCAGUUGAGCAUCUAAUUGGGCAGUUUUCAUCCGGAAUGACCGGCUUGCUCGGGAAGUUGGUUGAGGGGUGGACGUCCCUCAGUGCCUCUGACAGCGACGCGGUUGCGAGGCAGUUCACUUCAUUUGUCCCAGAACGUACACAUCGACCAACCGGUUGCCGUGGCCGGUAUGACUACAACAGUUCCCAAGAGCCCGGUGACACACAAGAUGAUGUAGAUGGAGACGUUGGCCUCAGCAAGGAUGACGAUGAUGACAUGGAUGAUGUGCAUCAGGACACGGAUGACGAUGAACACGCUGAAGUUCGCACAGGUGCCAACAAGGGCAAGGAUGCAACAGAUGCCCCCCACCGGAGAAAGUGA